AUUGAACGCUGGCGGCAUGCCUUACACAUGCAAGUCGAACGGCAGCACGGGAGCAAUCCUGGUGGCGAGUGGCGUACGGGUGAGUAAUAUAUCGGAACGUGCCCAGUCGGGGGGGAUAACGUAGCGAAAGCUACGCUAAUACCGCAUACGAUCUAUGGAUGAAAGCGGGGGAUCGCAAGACCUCGCGCGAUUGGAGCGGCCGAUAUCAGAUUAGGUAGUUGGUGAGGUAAAGGCUCACCAAGCCGACGAUCUGUAGCUGGUCUGAGAGGACGACCAGCCACACUGGGACUGAGACACGGCCCAGACUCCUACGGGAGGCAGCAGUGGGGAAUUUUGGACAAUGGGCGCAAGCCUGAUCCAGCAAUGCCGCGUGCAGGAUGAAGGCCUUCGUGUUGUAAACUGCUUUUGUACGGAGCGAAAAGGCUUCCACUAAUACUGGGGGCUCAUGACGGUACCGUAAGAAUAAGCACCGGCUAACUACGUGCCAGCAGCCGCGGUAACAC
rnacentral:rRNA from 1 species